rnacentral:rRNA from 1 species
AACGAACGCUGGCGGCAUGCCUAACACAUGCAAGUCGAACGAGACCUUCGGGUCUAGUGGCGCACGGGUGCGUAACGCGUGGGAACCUGCCCUUAGGUUCGGAAUAACUCCCCGAAAGGGGUGCUAAUACCGGAUAAUGUCUUCGGACCAAAGAUUUAUCGCCUUUGGAUGGGCCCGCGUUGGAUUGGCUAGUUGGUAGGGUAAAAGCCUACCAAGGCGACGAUCCAUAGCUGGUCUGAGAGGAUGAUCAGCCACACUGGGACUGAGACACGGCCCAGACUCCUACGGGAGGCAGCAGUGGGGAAUAUUGGACAAUGGGCGAAAGCCUGAUCCAGCAAUGCCGGGUGAGUGAUGAAGGCCUUAGGGUUGUAAAGCUCUUUUACCCGGGAUGAUAAUGACAGUACCGGGAGAAUAAGCUCCGGCUAACUCCGUG